CGGUUCAGUUACAAGAAGAUUCAGCAACCUUGUAGAAUUCACCAGCUGCAGAUAACAACACUAGUACCAUCAUCAUGUUAAUACUCCCUAAACAACAGGAGAAACCUAAGUGUCUCUAUAUGAACAGCAGAUACAUCUUCCACAUCAGCAGAUGGCAAGUGAGAAUCUACUUCAUUUGAAGUCUCAUCACUGGCAAUUUCACCGUUUGGUGUGGCCAUUCCUUCUUCAUUGUAAGUAGUGCAUUGAAUUGCUGAAAAACAUUUGCAAAAAUUUAGUAUAAAUCACCAAGAAAAUAUACUAAAAGAAACAA